GUCCCGCCUGCCCCGUGAUUUAAUUUAACGGCCGCGGUAUCUUAACCGUGCAAAGGUAGCAUAAUCAAUUGUCCUUUAAAUUAGGACUAGUAUGAAUGGCACCACGAGGGUUUAACUGUCUCCCUGUUUUUAUUAAUGAAAUUAAUCUUCCCGUGAAGAAACGGGAAUAUAAAUAUAAGACGAGAAGACCCCAUGGAGCUUUAAACUAAUUACCACUUAUUUAAUAGCACAACAUACCACUUGAUAAGAAUGUUCUUUAAUAGUUUUUGGUUGGGGCGACCCUGGAGAAAAACAAAUCCUCCAGAUUGAAAGGAACAACAACCCUUAUAUAAGAACCACAAUUCAAACAAACAAAAUUUUGACAAAACUGACCCAAAUUUAUUGAUCAGUGAACCAAGUUACCCUGGGGAUAACAGCGCAAUCCAUUUCAAGAGCCCAUAUCGACAAAUGGGUUUACGACCUCGAUGUUGGAUCGGGGUAUCCUAGCAGCGCAGCUGUUGCUAAUGGUUCGUUUGUUCAACGAUUAAUACCCCACGUGAUCU
rnacentral:rRNA from 1 species